GACGAACGCUGGCGGCGUGCUUAACACAUGCAAGUCGAACGGAAAGGCCCUGCUUUUGUGGGGUGCUCGAGUGGCGAACGGGUGAGUAACACGUGAGUAACCUGCCCUUGACUUUGGGAUAACUUCAGGAAACUGGGGCUAAUACCGGAUAGGAGCUCCUGCUGCAUGGUGGGGGUUGGAAAGUCUCGGCGGUUGGGGAUGGACUCGCGGCUUAUCAGCUUGUCGGUGGGGUAGUGGCUUACCAAGGCUUUGACGGGUAGCCGGCCUGAGAGGGUGACCGGCCACAUUGGGACUGAGAUACGGCCCAGACUCCUACGGGAGGCAGCAGUGGGGAAUAUUGCACAAUGGGCGGAAGCCUGAUGCAGCAACGCCGCGUGCGGGAUGACGGCCUUCGGGUUGUAAACCGCUUUCGCCUGUGACGAAGCGUGAGUGACGGUAAUGGGUAAAGAAGCACCGGCUAACUACGUG
rnacentral:rRNA from 1 species